UCAGGCCUAACACAUGCAAGUCAAACGACAAAUUUUUUUGUAGUGGCGGACGGGUGAGUAACACGUAAGAACCUGCCUUUAGGAGGGGGAUACCAUCUGGGAAACUGGUGCUAAUACCCCAUAUGCUGAGAAGUGAAAAGGUAUUUAACCGCCUAGAGAGGGGCUUGCGGCUGAUUAGCUAGUUGGUAGGGUAAUGGCCUCCCAAGGCGACGAUCAGUAGCUGGUUUGAGAGGAUGAUCAGCCACACUGGGACUGAGACACGGCCCAGACUCCUACGGGAGGCAGCAGUGAGGAAUUUUCCGCAAAGGGCGAAAGCCUGACGGAGCAAUACCGC
rnacentral:rRNA from 1 species